rnacentral:tRNA from 7 species
GCGCCUGUAGCUCAGUUGGAUAGAGUACCAGUUUCCGAAGCUGGGGGUCACAGGUUCGAUUCCUGUCAGGCGCGCCA